AACGAACGCUGGCGGCAUGCCUAACACAUGCAAGUCGAACGAGACCUUUGGGUCUAGUGGCGCACGGGUGCGUAACGCGUGGGAAUCUGCCCUUGGGUUCGGAAUAACAGUGAGAAAUUGCUGCUAAUACCGGAUGAUGUCUUCGGACCAAAGAUUGAUCGCCCAGGGAUGAGCCCGCGUAGGAUUAGCUAGUUGGUGGGGUAAUGGCCUACCAAGGCGACGAUCCUUAGCUGGUCUGAGAGGAUGAUCAGCCACACUGGGACUGAGACACGGCCCAGAAUCCUACGCGAAGCAGCAGUGGGGAAUAUUGGACAAUGGGCGCAAGCCUGAUCCAGCAAUGCCGCGUGAGUGAUGAAGGCCUUAGGGAUGUACAGCUCUUUUACACGGGAUGAUAAUGACGGUACCUGGAGAAUAAGCUCCGGCUAACUCCGUG
rnacentral:rRNA from 1 species